rnacentral:rRNA from 1 species
UACGGAGGGAGCUAGCGUUGUUCGGAAUUACUGGGCGUAAAGCGCACGUAGGCGGCUUUGUAAGUUAGAGGUGAAAGCCCGGGGCUCAACUCCGGAACUGCCUUUAAGACUGCAUCGCUUGAAUCCGGGAGAGGUGAGUGGAAUUCCGAGUGUAGAGGUGAAAUUCGUAGAUAUUCGGAAGAACACCAGUGGCGAAGGCGGCUCGCUGGACCGGUAUUGACGCUGAGGUGCGAAAGCGUGGGGAGCAAA